rnacentral:rRNA from 1 species
AUUGAACGCUGGCGGCAUGCCUUACACAUGCAAGUCGAACGGCAGCACGGGAGCAAUCGUGGUGGCGAGUGGCGAACGGGUGAGUAAUACAUCGGAACGUGCCCAAUCGUGGGGGAUAACGCAGCGAAAGCUGUGCUAAUACCGCAUACGAUCUACGGAUGAAAGCAGGGGAUCGCAAGACCUUGCGCGAAUGGAGCGGCCGAUGGCAGAUUAGGUAGUUGGUGAGGUAAAGGCUCACCAAGCCGUCGAUCUGUAGCUGGUCUGAGAGGACGACCAGCCACACUGGGACUGAGACACGGCCCAGACUCCUACGGGAGGCAGCAGUGGGGAAUUUUGGACAAUGGGCGAAAGCCUGAUCCAGCCAUGCCGCGUGCAGGAUGAAGGCCUUCGGGUUGUAAACUGCUUUUGUACGGAACGAAACGGCCUUUUCUAAUAAAGAGGGCUAAUGACGGUACCGUAAGAAUAAGCACCGGCUAACUACGUGCCAGCAGCCGCGGUAAUACGUAGGGUGCAAGCGUUAAUCGGAAUUACUGGGCGUAAAGCGUGCGCAGGCGGUUAUGUAAGACAGUUGUGAAAUCCCCGGGCUCAACCUGGGAACUGCAUCUGUGACUGCAUAGCUAGAGUACGGUAGAGGGGGAUGGAAUUCCGCGUGUAGCAGUGAAAUGCGUAGAUAUGCGGAGGAACACCGAUGGCGGAGGCAAUCCCCUGGACCUGUACUGACGCUCAUGCACGAAAGCGUGGGGAGCAAACAGG